rnacentral:rRNA from 1 species
UACGGGGGGGGCAAGCGUUGUUCGGAAUUACUGGGCGUAAAGGGCUCGUAGGCGGCCAACUAAGUCAUACGUGAAAUCCCUCGGCUUAACCGGGGAACUGCGUCUGAUACUGGAUGGCUUGAGUUCGGGAGAGGGAUGCGGAAUUCCAGGUGUAGCGGUGAAAUGCGUAGAUAUCUGGAGGAACACCGGUGGCGAAGGCGGCAUUCUGGACCAUUACUGACGCUGAGGAGCGAAAGCCAGGGGAGCAAACGGG